rnacentral:rRNA from 1 species
AUGAAGAUUAAUGUAGAUGCAUCCUUUGAUGAUGUUUCCUGUCAAGGUUCGACUGGGCUGGUUAUUCGGGAUAGGGAGGGUGCAUUACUUCGUGCACAAGCCCUUUGGUAUAAUUUUGCAGCUAGCUCACAGUCCAUGGAAGCAGAAGCAAUUCGAGAUGGGGUUCGAAUGGCUAUUGAGAGAGGUUUCAGCAAAGUUGAGGUGGAAACUGAUGCUCAAGCUAUUGUUAAGUUGUGGGAGUCAGAUACCUUCGAUCGUUCGGAGAUAGCUGCCAUUCUUCAAGAGAUCAGGGAGCUUUCUGAUCAAUUUGACAGUUUUAGGCUGAAAUUCACAACGAGGUUCUUCAACAGCAAUGCCUUCAUGAAGGGAGCGGCGCUCAAGCGUCGUCGUCACCGGAUCCAACCACAAAAGAUUGCAUCUCAUUGCCGAAAGCAGCCAUUAGAUCUGAAGACUUCGAUGGUCACCAGAAUCCGCAGUGAGACAGUCGUCUCAUGUUGUAGCCCGCCUGACUGCACCUCCGAAGGCCCUGGGCCCAACCAUCCGCCGCCGUCGUUGGAAGGGGACUGCAGCCACCUGUCGGAGCUGCUAAUCCUUGCCGAGCAGGGCCACCUAGUUGGUUGUAGAUACUGCCACAUCCCGAGCUUGGCAAGGCCGUCCGCCGGGGUAGGAUCCCAUGGCCUUUCUGGCCAUGGAUCCGGUCCUAGGAGGCCACCACUCCAUCGUUGGAAAGAGGUGCCACAGCCAGGACGCAGCCGGCAAGCCCGGAGCAUGAGGUCAGUUCACGGGGAACACACGACGCCGAAGCCGCAUAUUCUCGCCUCACACAACCACGAUCCAUGCCAGGAGGUGCGCGAGUGCGCCCAGGAGGAGCAGAAGCGCCCCGCCGCCACCAUCCUUAGGUCCGGCAUGUCUUCGCCGGCGAACCCUCCGGCGGCGGCGCGGCAGGGAGACAAAGUGCGGGCGGCUAGGGUUUCCCCCCGUGUCGCCAAGCAUGGGCGACGCGGGGGACCGGUAAUUUCCUCCUCUAACCCUGAAGCGGUCUGA